rnacentral:rRNA from 1 species
AACCUCCGCAAUGUGAGAAAUCGCGACGGGGGGAUUCCAAGUGCCAUUCUUAACGGGAUGGCUUUUCAUUAGUGUAAAGAGCUUUUGGAAUAAGAGCUGGGCAAGACCGGUGCCAGCCGCCGCGGUAACACCGGCAGCUCUAGUGGUAGCAAUUUUUAUUGGGCCUAAAGCGUCCGUAGCCGGUUUAAUAAGUCUCUGGUGAAAUCCUGCAGCUUAACUGUGGGAAUUGCUGGAGAUACUAUUAGACUUGAGAUCGGGAGAGGUUAGAGGUACUCCCAGGGUAGAGGUGAAAUUCUGUAAUCCUGGGAGGACCGCCUGUUGCGAAGGCGUCUAACUGGAACGGUUCUGACGGUGAGGGACGAAAGUUAGGGGCGCGAACCGGAUUAGAUACCCGGGUAGUCCUAACUGUAAACGAUGCGGACUUGGUGUUGGGGUGGCUUUGAGCUGCCUCAGUGCCGAAGGGAAGCUGUUAAGUCCGCCGCCUGGGAAGUACGGUCGCAAGACUAAAACUUAAAGGAAGU